AAUAAAUGUAUUAAUAUAUAGAAGAAAUUAAAUGAUAAAUCAUUAAAUUUAAAAGAUUUGGCAGUAUUUAAUAUUUAGAGGAACCUGUAUAGUAAUUGAUGAUCCACGAUAAGAUAUACUUAAUUUUAAAUUUAUGUAUUGCUGUUUUUAAUAUUUAAUUAAGUUAGAUAGUAAUAUAAUUUAUAAUAUUUUAUUAGAUAAAAUAAUUCAAGUCAAAAUAUAGUUUAAUUAAGAUUUAAUAUGGGUUACAAUUAAUUUAAUUAUAUUGGAUUAAAAAAUUUAAUUUUUUUAUGAAAUUGGAUUUAAAAGUAAAUUUAAUUAAUUUAUUAAAUUGAAGAAUAAAUUAAAUAUGU
rnacentral:rRNA from 1 species